rnacentral:rRNA from 1 species
AUUGAACGCUGGCGGCAGGCCUAACACAUGCAAGUCGAGCGGUAGCACAGAGAGCUUGCUCUCGGGUGACGAGCGGCGGACGGGGGAGUAAUGUCUGGGAAACUGCCUGAUGGAGGGGGAUAACUACUGGAAACGGUAGCUAAUACCGCAUAACGUCGCAAGACCAAAGUGGGGGACCUUCGGGCCUCAUGCCAUCAGAUGUGCCCAGAUGGGAUUAGCUAGUAGGUGGGGUAACGGCUCACCUAGGCGACGAUCCCUAGCUGGUCUGAGAGGAUGACCAGCCACACUGGAACUGAGACACGGUCCAGACUCCUACGGGAGGCAGCAGUGGGGAAUAUUGCACAAUGGGCGCAAGCCUGAUGCAGCCAUGCCGCGUGUGUGAAGAAGGCCUUCGGGUUGUAAAGCACUUUCAGCGGGGAGGAAGGCGUUAAGGUUAAUAACCUUGGCGAUUGACGUUACCCGCAGAAGAAGCACCGGCUAACUCCGUGCCAGCAGCCGCGGUAAUACGGAGGGUGCAAGCGUUAAUCGGAAUUACUGGGCGUAAAGCGCACGCAGGCGGUCUGUCAGUCGGAUGUGAAAUCCCCGGGCUCAACCUGGGAACUGCAUUCGAAACUGGCAGGCUAGAGUCUUGUAGAGGGGGGUAGAAUUCCAGGUGUAGCGGUGAAAUGCGUAGAGAUCUGGAGGAAUACCGGUGGCGAAGGCGGCCCCCUGGACAAAGACUGACGCUCAGGUGCGAAAGCGUGGGGAGCAAACAGGAUUAGAUACCCUGGUAGUCCACGCCGUAAACGAUGUCGAUUUGGAGGUUGUGCCCUUGAGGCGUGGCUUCCGGAGCUAACGCGUUAAAUCGACCGCCUGGGGAGUACGGCCGCAAGGUUAAAACUCAAAUGAAUUGACGGGGGCCCGCACAAGCGGUGGAGCAUGUGGUUUAAUUCGAUGCAACGCGAAGAACCUUACCUGGUCUUGACAUCCACAGAACUUAGCAGAGAUGCUUUGGUGCCUUCGGGAACUGUGAGACAGGUGCUGCAUGGCUGUCGUCAGCUCGUGUUGUGAAAUGUUGGGUUAAGUCCCGCAACGAGCGCAACCCUUAUCCUUUGUUGCCAGCGGUCCGGCCGGGAACUCAAAGGAGACUGCCAGUGAUAAACUGGAGGAAGGUGGGGAUGACGUCAAGUCAUCAUGGCCCUUACGACCAGGGCUACACACGUGCUACAAUGGCAUAUACAAAGAGAAGCGACCUCGCGAGAGCAAGCGGACCUCAUAAAGUAUGUCGUAGUCCGGAUUGGAGUCUGCAACUCGACUCCAUGAAGUCGGAAUCGCUAGUAAUCGUAGAUCAGAAUGCUACGGUGAAUACGUUCCCGGGCCU